UACGUAGGGUGCAAGCGUUGUCCGGAAUUAUUGGGCGUAAAGAGCUCGUAGGCGGUCUGUCGCGUCUGCUGUGAAAACCCGGGGCUCAACCCCGGGCUUGCAGUGGAUACGGGCAGACUAGAGUUCGGUAGGGGAGACUGGAAUUCCUGGUGUAGCGGUGAAAUGCGCAGAUAUCAGGAGGAGCACCGGUGGCGAAGGCGGGUCUCUGGGCCGAUACUGACGCUGAGGAGCGAAAGCGUGGGGAGCGAACAGG
rnacentral:rRNA from 1 species